UAACAAAAAAACUACAUAAAUAUAUUAAAAAAAUAAUCUUUUGCGUUUAACUACGUAAACAUUUAAGAUAAUUUAAGAGAGCUAUUAAACUAGGACAUAAAAUCUUUGCAAAAAUCGUGAGAGAGGAAUUCGACUAAUCGAAAACAGUUUACUAAACUCAGGAAAAAUUGAUGCUCAGUGGUAUGAAAUAAUGUAGAAAUUAAAGGGGUUAUCAUGUAAAGCGUUGCGAAGAGUAAUGAAGAGCAAAAGUAAGGUACAGGGAUAAAAGGAUGCCCAGCUUAUUCCAGUAUCGACCAAAAUAAUAAUUUUUGGGCAUUCAAAUUAUAAUACCACCCAGGAGGUAUGCAAAAUGGUGCGUUAUCCAAGUUAGUUUCGCUCAGUUAGUUAUUUAUAUAAAAAAAGAAACAAAACAAUAACAAUUCAUUAACAUAUACAUGUAACUAGAAAACAAAAAGACAACAAUUCAUUUAACAAAACUAUAAAAAUAUAACAGUUAUAAUAUAUGUAUAUUAGGGUGUGUCAUUCUGAGGCAACAUUUUCGGAAUCGAUCUUCAGUAGUCGAAGUCGAUUAAGAAUCGAUUCUUGACAUUCGAAAAAUCGAUUAUUCUACGAGAAAACUCGAUUCUCGAGUAGAAUCGGAAUCGAGUUUACCAUCCCUACUGGCAGCCAUCUACCUUGGGAUUAGCCUCCUCAACAUCGCAUAUAAGGUUCUAUCGAGCGUAUUGUGUGAAAGAUUAAGGCCCACCGUCAACAAACUAAUUGGACCUUAUCAGUGUGGCUUUAGACCUGGCAAAUCAACAACCGACCAGAUAUUCACCAUGCGCCAAAUCUUAGAAAAGACCCGAGAAAGGAGAAUCGACACACACCACCUCUUCGUCGAUUUCAAAGCUGCUUUCGACAGCACGAAAAGGAGCUGCCUUUAUGCCGCGAUGUUUGAAUUUGGUAUCCCCGCAAAACUUAUACGGCUGUGUAAACUGACGUUGAGUAACACAAAAAGCUCCGUCAGGAUCGGGAAGGACCUCUCCGAGCCGUUCGAUACCAAACGAGGUUUCAGACAAGGCGAUUCCCUAUCGUGCGACUUCUUCAACCUGCUUUUGGAGAAAAUAGUUUGAGCCGCAGAACUAAAUAGAGAAGGUACCAUCUUCUAUAAGAGUGUACAGCUGCUGACGUAUGCCGAUGAUAUUGAUAUCAUCGGCCUCAACACCCGCGCCGUUAGUUCUGCUUUCUCCAGGCUGGACAAGGAAGCAAAAGAAAUGGGUCUGGUAGUGAACGAGGGCAAGACGAAAUAUCUCCUGUCAUCAAACAAACAGUCGUCGCGCUCGCGACUUGGCACUCACGUCACUGUUGACAGUCAUAACUUUGAAGUUGUAGAUAAUUUCGUCUAUCUUGGAACCAGCGUAAACACCACCAACAAUGUCAGCCUAGAAAUCCAACGCAGAAUAACUCUUGCCAACAGGUGUUACUUCGGACUGAGUAGGCAAUUGAGAAGCAAAGUUCUCUCUCGACAAACAAAGACCAAACUCUAUAAGUCACUCAUAAUUCCCGUCCUGCUAUAUAGUGUGUAGAGUCUUGGACGAUGUCAACAACGGAUGAGUCGACGUUGCGAGUUUUCGAGAGAAAAGUUCUGCGAAAGAUUUAUGGACCUUUGCGCGUUAGCCACGGCGAAUACCGCAUUCGAUGGAACGAUGAGCUGUACGAGAUAUACGACGACAUCGACAUAGUUCAGCGAAUUAAAAGACAGCGGCUACGCUGGCUAGGUCAUGUUGUCCGGAUGGACGAAAACACUCCAGCUCUGAAAGUAUUCGACGCAGUACCCGCCGGGGGAAGCAGAGGAAGAGGAAGACCUCCACUCCGUUGGAAGGACCAAGUGGAGAAGGACCUGGCUUCGCUUGGAAUAUCCAAUUGGCGCCACGUAGCGAAAAGAAGAAACGACUGGCGCGCUGUUGUUAACUCGGCUAUAAUCGCGUAAGCGGUGUCUACGCCAAUUAAGAAGAAGAAGAAUGUAUAUACAUAUACAUACAUAGUACAAAUCCCAAAUUCUAAUUUUACUUUCUAAUUUGAUUGCUUCUGCAUUGUAAAUUCGCUUAUUGUAACCAGAAAAUUUAAACUUGUUAAAAAAUAAAUUCUUAAUCUAAUGAAAAUGGCUAUAACUAUUUUUGGGUCACAAUUUUCACAACACAAAAAGGUUUCAUUGUACUAAAAAGGCUACCGUAAAAAAUAUAUUUUCUUGCCUUUAACAUUAAGAAAAGGCCGUGACGCUGAAACUUCUAACAAAUUAGUGAAAUUCUGAAAAUUGGUGUACUGUUCGCAAACAAAAUGGCAUUUUUCUUUACUGGCGUAGACACCGCCCACGCGGUCAUAGCCUACUUUACAACAGCAGGCUGUUUUCUUCUAUUCAUUGGGGGCGUUUUUUACGUGGCGAGUUCAGCGCACAACCCUGGGGAAAGAUAUUUUGCCUUCUCACUUUAGCUCAUCUUCAAACGGACGUUCUUUGGCUACCCAGAGGAUACUUGGUCUAAGACCGGAAGUCGUGAACUGCUUGAGCCACAUAUGAAAGAAUCGUUUCUGAACACACUCAAGUGAAUGGCAAAGUACCAAGUACUUUCGGAUGGAAAAUCUGAUGAUUGGUGAUUUAAGUGACGAUAACCAACUGGCGACAAAAAAAUACACCCAAAUCUAUCGUUUUAAAAAAAUUGUCAUAUCGUCGACCAUUUCUACGGCGAUUACUAUUUAUAAACCUAAUACAAGCAUCUAACUGUGGAACUUUACUACAAACUAAUGAAAGAGGUUCUGCCGGUUCCCCAAACUAACUAUUCCUUAACUGUUCCCUACAUAAUCUAACUAACUGGGCCUUUAAACUACUAUUUCAACAAUAAUUGGAAAAAGCUACCUCGAUGUACUGUUUGCAUUUGAGGCAGAUUCUUAAAUUUCUUAAACUGAUACAGCAUCGUCUCCGUUAUCUUCAUAAAUUUCAUUGGUGGCUUGCGUGGCAUUUUUCACUUUUUUAUACAAAAAUUUCAAACUAUAACGAAUUUCUUCAUUAUUUUCAUUCAUUUUUAUACAGCUGUAACUUUUUUUCAACUUCCCUGAUUUUUUUGUUAAAUGAAGCUUAAAAUCUUACCUUUGGAGAUAUACAUACGACUGCAACGACAUCUAUUGACAAAAUGCGAAAAGACCUUUUCGAUUACUCAAUAUAUGGGGGUUUCCAAUAAAAGUGAUACGAAAAAAAUGCACUAUUUAUUAAAGAAAUUCAAAUGUUUUUUUUUAUUUAGUGUGAAGUACAAUCGAUAUUAUUAAGUUUUGAAUAUAACAUCAUUAAAAUGGCCUCCACGAUUUCUUUUGCAGGAACGAAAUCGGUGAAUUGAAUUUUCGGGUACUUUUCUCACAAUAAUUCGAUUGUUGCACGUGCUGUGUGGCUUGUAUCCUCAAUAUCAAUUUCUUCCGAUUGCGACCAUAAAAACUUGGUUGUCAUUGAUCUAUACCGCUCUCAUUUGACAGUAACGGUGCCAUCACCAAACUGUGAAUUUAGGUGAAUGUAAUGGUUGUUCAUGAAUAAUGUGUGGAUUUUCGUCUCAUCAGAAUCGACAGUUUUGUUUAUUUACCGCACCAUUUAGAUGAAAGUGAGCCUCUUCGAAGAAGAUUAUUUUGUUAGAUAUUGGAGAUCGAUUAUUUUGAUAAUAAAAUUGAAUAAUAUGUAAACGUUGUUCUUGCGUAUAUCUUCCCAUGUUGAAAUUGUAAACAUAACUAAAUACAAUGAAAAACAAGUAAGAAAGGACUAAGCUCGGGUGCAACCGAAUAUUUUAUACUCUUGCAACUAGCAGGAAUCAAAGCCAGGGAAAUACUUCCAGAUGUGAAAUCAGGGGCGUCGCGAGGAUCCAGAUCAUGGGGGGGUGAGUCCCUUUGAAAUGCCGACUCAUUUCAAGAAUUUGCCGAUUUAAUGUACAUAUAUGUUUAUAAAUAUAUAUAAAAUAAGGAUAUCUUCAUUUCUGAUAAGGUAUUACGGAGAAGUUUUACAACAUAAUAGCAUAAUUCAUUAUUUUAUUCUCAAAUAAGUAUUGUACAUAUUGAUUUGAAUUUUUAACAUUGCUGUAUACAUACAUAUAUGAGACGAUAUGAUAAACUAAUCAUAAUCUCCUUCGUCAAUUUAAACAGAACGAGUUUCUUGUGAAUUAAAAUAUUGCACCUAUAAAAGUAAAUUAGGAGAUAAUCGACUUUUGAAAGAAUGACGAUCGAUAGUAAAUUCAUUACUAACUUAAAAUUCGAACUUAAAAAAAAAUAUAUUCAACCACUGUUAUUCGAACAUUGUAGUGUUUUAAUAAUCCUCGUGGAAAUUACGAAAAGGUGUCUUUUUAAGCUUGCUUCCGCAAUUAUAGAGCUAUUUAUUGCGUUUUACUGAAGUUAGAAUUUUCAUAAAUGCCGGCUAGUGAAUUCGCAAUGGAUAUGACCUAAAAAUUAAUGUGCAAUAAUAUAUUUUGAUGAAAAUCUUAAAAAUAUUCAAUAAGUUUUGACAACAAAUUUCCGGGUACUUGGCAACUCUUACUGGAAUUGCCGAAAUGAACUUUCAAAUUUUUAGUUAUGAUAUUAAAACGGCCGAAAAUGCCGACUCGUUCAUAGAUGG